CCUACGGGUGGCAGCAGUGAGGAAUAUUGGUCAAUGGGCGCGAGCCUGAACCAGCCAAGUCGCGUGAGGGAAGACGGUCCUAUGGAUUGUAAACCUCUUUUGUCGGGGAGCAAAAGACGCCACGCGUGGCGUUCCGAGAGUACCCGAAGAAAAAGCAUCGGCUAACUCCGUGCCAGCAGCCGCGGUAAUACGGAGGAUGCGAGCGUUAUCCGGAUUUAUUGGGUUUAAAGGGUGCGCAGGCGGAAGAGCAAGUCAGCGGUAAAAUUGAGAGGCUCAACCUCUUCGAGCCGUUGAAACUGGUUUGCUUGAGUGAGUGAGAAGUAUGCGGAAUGCGUGGUGUAGCGGUGAAAUGCAUAGAUAUCACGCAGAACUCCGAUUGCGAAGGCAGCAUACCGGCGCUCAACUGACGCUCAUGCACGAAAGUGUGGGUAUCGAACAGGAUUAGAUACCCCUGUAGUC
rnacentral:rRNA from 1 species